rnacentral:rRNA from 1 species
UCAGGCCUAACACAUGCAAGUCGAACGAACUCUUCGGAGUUAGUGGCGGACGGGUGAGUAACACGUGGGAACGUGCCUUUAGGUUCGGAAUAACUCAGGGAAACUUGUGCUAAUACCGAAUGUGCCCUUCGGGGGAAAGAUUUAUCGCCUUUAGAGCGGCCCGCGUCUGAUUAGCUAGUUGGUGAGGUAAAGGCUCACCAAGGCGACGAUCAGUAGCUGGUCUGAGAGGAUGAUCAGCCACAUUGGGACUGAGACACGGCCCAAACUCCUACGGGAGGCAGCAGUGGGGAAUCUUGCGCAAUGGGCGAAAGCCUGACGCAGCCAUGCCGCGUGAAUGAUGAAGGUCUUAGGAUUGUAAAAUUCUUUCACCGGGGACGAUAAUGACGGUACCCGGAGAAGAAGCCCCGGCUAACUUCGUGCCAGCAGCCGCGGUAAU